rnacentral:lncRNA from 1 species
CAGCAUAUACCAGUAAUACAAGCACUAAAAACCAAAAAGGAGGAGCUCUCCAUACAUGAGAAGAUGGAUCUUGGCCUAUACACAUAUUUGUUGCAUAAGAAAAGAUUCAUCAUCUAUCCCGAGAGGCUCCCAAACAAAUAUUGGGGGUCUCUACUUGCCAUUGUUGAAAAGAGAUGUUAAAGUCACUCUGGUAAGCCUUGAGCCAUGACCAAAGAUCAAAAAGUAUCUUGUGCCUCACCUUCUCCUCCUCCAGACAAUAUCUUAUUUCUGUUAUACCAAAUGUUCCAGAUAAUAACGCACCAACCAGCUUUCCACCAAGAGUUUAGGACAUGUCCUUGUAGCCUGUGAGAAAUUUGGCAGAAGUGCUCAAUAGGUGACCCAGGGGGUACCGAGCAAAUGUCCAGCAAUCCAUACCAUCUCCACCAAAGCAAUUGCGCAAAUUUAAUGAAAAAAAAAAUACAUG